rnacentral:snoRNA from 1 species
GGGUCAGGGAUGAAAUCAUUGUCUUGUCUCUACAGAGGUGUUGUCAUAAAAGUCUCGCACAAUAAAGUUAUGCUGAGGACC